GGUCAUGAGACCCAGCGUCAAGCGCCGGCUUGCUGGGCGGCAACCCUCCUCGCGAUGGGGUGCCCCGGGUGAUGACCUGGCCGCACCGACCCGGUGCGUGCAAGAGCGAGGC
rnacentral:ncRNA from 1 species